rnacentral:rRNA from 1 species
AAGUCGUAACAAGGUUUCCGUAGGUGAACCUGCGGAAGGAUCAUUAAUGAUUUUAAAGCGAGUCGAGCGUUAAGCGAGGCUUGCGAAAUAUUUAAAACCCCACUCUUUUUAACUUUAAAAAAUAAAUCAUGACACAUGAAUUUAAAAAAAGAUCACUUUCAACAACGGAUCUCUUGGCUCUCGCAUCGAUGAAGAACGCAGCGAAAUGCGAUAAGUAGUGUGAAUUGCAUAAUUUUGUGAAUCAUCGAAUCUUUGAACGCAAAUUGCACUCCCUGGUAUUCCGGGGAGUAUGCCUGUUUGAGGGUCGUUAGAACAAAAAUCGAAGCGUCGCUCUUUUUUUAAGGGUGAUCGCGUCGGAAUUGAGCCGUCUUUCAAAUGUUAAUGCAUGUCAAAGUGGCUUAAAAUUCAUCCAUCCGGUACGAUUAAAGCGUAUUUAAGAUCAAUUUUGAUUAAGAACGCGCGAUGAACGUACCAUCUCAUGUAGUACGUUUGACCUGGGUCAUCAGGUUCAUUCGUAUACGAUACUCAAACUUUUGACCUCAAAUCAGGUAAGGAUACCCGCUGAACUUA